rnacentral:lncRNA from 10 species
CGCAGCCCCUGCACCUCGCUGCUCCUCGGCCCUCGCGGCCCAAACCUGGCCCUGCCGGGUCCCAGCCCCCAGUGGCUUUCGGGACAGGGGCGGAGCCGGGCACCGGUUCUGUUCCCCUAACCCUUGGCCUCUGGCCUGCUGGUAUAGAAGAGGCCGAGAGGCGGCGCCCGGGAGGGGCCAGCCCUGCGCCCGCGCCCCCCGCCCCCACGCCGCAGGAAGUGGCCCGGGCGGCCUAGGAAGGGGAAGAGCCGAGUUGCCCCAGCCCCGCACCCCCAGCCCCAGCCCCGCGUGCAGCUCGCACCCCUUCCCACGCCUGUUCGGGGGAGAGCCCCGGGCCUGGAGUGGGAAGCCUGGCUCCAGCUCUGGUUACCUGCAGUGACUCCCCAGGCCGUUUAGGCGAGUCCAUUGGGCCGCCUCUGCCUCGGUUUCCCCACCUAACCACGGAAGGUGCUCCUCCCUUCCAGGCAUCUGUGGUCUUCGAGCUCCACGCGGGAGAGGCGCCGGUCUGGCACCUCCUGCCCAGGGUCGGCGCCUCCUGGCUCUCGGGGAGGGGGGCAUCCUCCAUCCCCUGCACCUGCCUCGAGAGGAACCAGGGACAGAGCACCCCCACCCCCACCAGGAGCUCCGGAAAAACGGCUUCAGAAGAGCAAAUAUACACACACACCCACCUCCCGCCCCAAACAUCCCCGAAGAAAGGUAACCACAGAAACAGCCAGAAAUGUGGAGCUGGGCGAUCGUAUGAGGCUGAGACAAAACUGUCUUUCUAGCGUCUCUAGGGGAGAGCUUGAAUCCCUCCUUCCACUCCUCCUCCACGGAAAACAGAGUGAACUCCUGCUACAGAGGCCGCCAGAGCAACAUGCAAGACCAGCUUUGAGGGGAGCGGGCACAGGGCCUUGCAGGGAAGGUGGGCCGAGCCCAGACCCCUCAUUCUUACUUGGCUCUGAAGGCGGAAAGGCAAAGCUAGACCUCGAGGAAGUUCCCCUCCCUGUGGGCCCUACAGUGAAGAUUACAUGAAGGCAUGUGGGCGGUGGACCAGAGUGCACCGACUGAUGAAGGCGGCCCGGUACCCGCGGGUGCCAUGCCUCCUUCUUAGCCAAGGCCACUCUAGCUCCCCGUGAAGUAUCCAGGUAGAAGGCUGGUGGGGUUACAGGUGAGAAGCCGUCGGUGGGGUCCAGGAGCCAGGCCUGGGGAAGCACACGUCACUUCCACCCACAUCCAUGGGCCAGAAGUAGUCGCACAGUCCCACCAGGAUGCAAGGGGCUCUGGCAGCUGUGGUCUUCAUGAGUGUUUCGGAAGUAAACAAAGCCGGUUUGAUGAACACGUAGAAACAUCCCUGCCACAGAAACUGAGCAGAUUUCUCCCAAGCACACACAGGGCAAAGGGGCAAAGUCUGUCCACAGACUCACAGGAAGGGAGGUGCAUGGCAGACACAGGCAGGAGGUGGGGUUGGGGUGGAAAAGUUCAGGGAGGGCUCAAAAGCAGACCAAGGCCUGUUUCUGAAACCCAGCCCACUCACUGGUUCCUCCACACUUGGCCCAUGCUGUUCCUCUCCCAUGUGACUUUUCCAUCUUCCCCCUCCAACCUGUCACCCAUCCAUCCUUCAAAACUUAGGUCAGUUAGCUCUCACCUAGCCCUCAGCAGCUUAGCCCGCAGAUGCUUCCUCUGUUUCUGAACUUCUAGAGAAACACACUUAACCGCAGACCUCUUAUUCCAGGAGUGUAUCUCUCUCAGAUGAGAUACAAGUUGGUCCCUUCCCUUGCGUCCCUCCUGUUCCUUCAAGAGGAGGACUGUCUACCCACCCCGAAGCUUCAUGGAGAGAGAGCACACCGUCGUUAUUCAAUAUGUAGUUUUGAAUUUAACUAGAGCAAAGAAGAAAGCAAAUUCAGGUGGAAGGAAGAAGAAAAGGGAAAAGGGCUGUCCCCAUCCUUCUAAGGAGAUGGUGCAGUGGCUCACCUUUGGGAGGCCGAGGCAGGCAGAUCACUUGAGCUCAGCAGUUUGAGACCAGCCUGGGUAACAUAGUGAAACCCCAUCUCUACAGAAAUUAAAAAAUUAGCCAGACAUGGCGGCGCACACCUGUGGUCCCAGCUACUCAGGAGGCUGCGGCAGAAGUAUGCCUUGAGCCAAAGAGGCAGAGAUUGCAGUGAGCCAAGAUCAUGCUACUGCACUCCAGCCUGGGCAACGAAGCAAGACUGUCUCAGGAAAAAAAAAAAAAAUGAUCAUUUUUCUCUGUCCACUUGGUGGGUCAACUGAAUGGUAUUCCUGUGUCUUCUACUCUCCUCCCACUUGGAAACCCACUGAGAUGCUCUUCCGAAGGCCAGUGCAUGCUGGGCCACACGAGACAGAGCUCAGGCUGGAGGAGCCUCAUACCCGCCCCUCUAGAUGCUUAUAAAAAUACUUCCCACCUUUGAAUCAAGUGGAAAAUGAGGCUCUCCAGUCAAAAGCCGCGACUGUAUAGAAAGCCCUGAGUUGCCCAAUCUGUUCACAUGGCAUCACCAACCUCUGUGUCAUCAUCAAGCUGUCCAGGGGACUCGAUGGCCACCUGGCCAGGAACUGCGGGCUGAUUGGAAGCUGUUGUUCCCAUUGUAUAAUCACACACAUCAUAAAAUAAUCAGUCUUGUCUCUAUUUACAAUUUUGAUGUUUUGUUCAUCACAAAUUUUUAUAUUAAUUUUUAGUUUAACAAACAUUGCACUAAAAUAAUGUUUCUCUUGAUGACCGAGUUUGGGUGCCCUUUCUAUUCUGUGUACAAGAUGAGAGCCUCACUGGCCUCCCCCAAUCCUGGCACUGCCGGAGGCUUUCCUGCGCCCCCUGUGUACUUGUAAGUGC